rnacentral:ncRNA from 1 species
GAGAGCACAGUACGAUGAAAGUUGUAAGCUGUGUUCGGGGGGAGGUUAUUGUCUAUCGUUGGCCUCUAUGGUAGAAUCAGUCGGGGACCGUGAGAGGCGGUGGUUUACCCUGC